UCAAUAUUUUUGAAAAGAAAAAUGCGUCCCGAGAAGUGAAAAUUAUCAAAAUUUCGUCAACUUAGGGGGCCCGAAACUGAAUAAAUGCGCGAAAAAUUUAACUUUCUAUGGCCAGAGUCGGAUUCCUUGAACACAAAAAUAUUUAAAACACAUGCUUUCUAAAAUAAAUAUUCACACGAGACAUCCAAAAACAUCGAAUUACUUUAUGACGACGUUUCGUGAUUUUUGGCAAUUAUGGCGCGGGUACGAUUGACGUCGCUGUGACGCGUUGGCAGUUAAAUGGUUCUAAAAUUUUUUUUGAAACGUUGCACAAAUAUACAACGUGUUUUUCGGUUUCAUAGUUAUAAUAAUAAACGUUUGAAUCAAUUGAUGACUCGAAGAAAAAGAGAGACUUUGCCUUGUUCUACGCGCACGAGUAAUAAAUAUUUUUUCUUCAUCCUUUGCUCUUUACGAUUCUAACAAUGUACGUUAAAGACGUAAUAACAGAGUGUAAUUGUUCCAUGGACCCAAUUAGGACUUUCCGGGUUCCCGAAAUCUCGGGAAAAACCGUUCCGAUUCGGAACCGGUUUGUAUCGGUUCAGGUUCUUUGUCGAUUCCGGAAUGGUCGGGAAACCCAGGAUUUUCAGGUCCGGUACGGUGAAUUACACGUUAUUGACCGUGUAGGCAACCGCGUGGGCUUCGUUCAACCGUAAAUCACGAUCAAGCAUCACUGCGUCCAUGGAAUUUCAACAAGUUCCAUCGCGUUCGCACGGAACCGUGGCGACACGAUGCGAUGGACGGAAAAAAGCGCGGGUAUUUCAAGAAGCCGAGUGGCGCGCGUCGCUCUGCGAACCGCUCGAUUCGAACGGGCUGAAAACGAAGACGCGUACUGAAACCGCACCUCACUGUUUGUUUCACAGGUGCGUAAUACGUGAAUUUCGGCAAUCUCCGUUAGACGCCGAGGAGAAGAAUAUUAAAUAUAGAUUAUAUCUUAAAAAAAAAAAUAAAUAAAUAAUCGAAUUGCACGUAAUAUUGCAGGUAUUAACAGAU